rnacentral:rRNA from 1 species
CCAGAGAAUUUAGCAGAGAUGCCUUAGUGCCUUCGGGAACUCUGAGACAGGUGCUGCAUGGCUGUCGUCAGCUCGUGUUGUGAAAUGUUGGGUUAAGUCCCGCAACGAGCGCAACCCUUAUCCUUUGUUGCCAGCACGUAAUGGUGGGAACUCAAAGGAGACUGCCGGUGAUAAACCGGAGGAAGGUGGGGAUGACGUCAAGUCAUCAUGGCCCUUACGAGUAGGGCUACACACGUGCUACAAUGGCGCAUACAAAGAGAAGCGACCUCGCGAGAGCAAGCGGACCUCAUAAAGUGCGUCGUAGUCCGGAUUGGAGUCUGCAACUCGACUCCAUGAAGUCUGAAUCGCUAGUAAUCGUAAAUCAGAAUGUUACGGUGAAUACGUUCCCGGGCCUUGUACACACCGCCCGUCACACCAUGGGAGUGGGUUGCAAAAGAAGUAGAUAGCUUAACCUUCGGGAGGGCGUUUACCACUUUGUGAUUCAUGACUGGGGUGAAGUCGUAACAAGGUAAGCGUAGUGCU